GGAUGUAAGAAAAGGCCAGCAACAAUGUGACAGACAACACCGAUGUGCACCUCGUUCGCGGAGGCGGUUGAUUCACUGCGCUUAAAAAUAGCGGUGUGCAUUUCGCACACUGCGAUUAGACAAACGGCAGAAGAAAAUGGAUAUCGGACGUGUCGAGAACAAUUAAAAUGGGGACGUUUUUUAGGGCCCAAUUCUGCUCUAGAAGAUUCAUGGACUCCAACAAAUAGAAGGGACAUCAUUCGAGGCCCUCCGGCUGACCUCUGGGCAGGUUGCUCUCUGCUGGGCUGGGUGCGGAGGGUCGUCGCUUGCACGUGUCUGUGUGUGUGUGUGUGUGUGUGACCAUGUCCAGUAUGAAGCAGUGGCGUCGGCUGGUGUUGGUGGGCAUGCUAGCCUGGGCCCUUGUCUUCCUGGCCCUACUAUCUUACUUCCUGGAUGCCCACGUGAACGAGCCCCUUUCCUCCUCUGGCCCCGCCUCUUCCUCCUCUUUCUCCUCCCUCUCCCAGCACCCCGACACCCGCCGCCUGGCCUCCGUCCAAGCCCUAACCCACAAACACCAUACCAUCGUGGGCUCCCGUCCCGAGCCGGCCUCCCCUCUUUCCACCGCCUACACAUAUCCGGGCCUGGACCCCACACCCUCUUCCUCCACAUCAGAGCCCAGCCCGGAGAUGAGCCCGAGCCCAGACGGCGCCCCCUACAGCCAGUACGCUACGCAGCAGGACUACCUGGACCCGCAGAGCCUGGCCGCCUGGUCCUCCUUCGGCACGGAGAACGUGGGCUCCUACCCCGACCCGGUGACACGGAACCGGGAAAGAACCUCCGCCAGCCGGCGCCAGAACCAGGCCUCGCGGCGCGGAGAUGGCGGCGAGGAGGUGGAGGAGGAGGAGGAGGAGGGGAACGCUCGCAGGACGACGGCGGGCCGAGGAGAGGCGGCCGACUCGUCCGAGGACUACUACUUCUCCAAGUCGGCCUCGGUGGUCCAGAGGCUGAGGAAGGGCAUCGCCUCGGCCGGGAUGCUGAGCCCCAGGCUGCAGCGCGCCAUGAAGGACUACCUGAGCACCAACAAGCACCACGUGGCCUUCAUGGGCCAGCGGCGUGAGACCCAGAGCCCCAGGGACCUUCUGUGUCAGAUGAAGAGACAGGCCAAGCUGGGCACGCUCGACGGCUCCGAGCAGCCCUUCUCCGACCUGGGCUGGGCCAAGCUGGUGCCCCCUAGGAGCUUGGAGGAGCUGUACCUGCACGGGGGGAAGAAGGACUUCGGGAGCUGCGCCGUGGUCGCGUCUGCUGGGGCCAUCCUGCACUCCGGACUGGGACAAGAGAUCGAUUCCCAUGAUGCAGUGCUGCGGUUCAACGCGGCUCCCACCAAGGGCUUUGAGAGGGAUGUGGGAAACAAGACCACCAUCCGGGUCAUCAACUCCCAGAUCCUGGACAACCCCAAGCACAAGUUCAACACCAGCUCCCUCUAUCAGAAUGUGACUCUGGUGGCAUGGGACCCUGCACCCUAUGCUGUCAACCUACACGAGUGGUAUGCCAGCCCGGACUACAACCUGUUCAGUCCGUAUGUGGAGCACCGGAAGCUGCGUCCCAGCCAGCCCUUCUACGUGCUGCACCCCAGAUACGUGUGGCAGCUCUGGGAUCUGGUCCAGGGCAACACCCGGGAGAACAUCCAGCCCAACCCGCCCUCGUCAGGCUUCAUAGGCAUCCUGUUGAUGAUGGCGCUGUGCGAGAAGGUGCACGUGUACGAGUACAUCCCCUCGCUGCGUCAGACGGACCUGUGCCACUACCACGAGUCCUACUACGACGCCGCCUGCACGCUGGGCGCCUACCACCCCCUGCUGUUUGAGAAGACCCUGAUCCAGAGGAUCAACGAGGGCCUUGAGGAGGACCUGAAGAAAAAAGGCCGGGUCACCCUGCCAGGCUUCAGCACCGUCCACUGUGACCUCUGAACUCCGACCUUCUUCCCCCACUCCUCGGAGAACCUGUCCAAGAACGGAAGAACCGCCACAGCCAUUCUCCAGGUCAGGUUCUGGCGUUCUAGGACUGAGGUAUGGUGAAAUGGUGACUGAACCCCUCAGGCUGAAACGGAACCACUUAGAACCGUGGAGAACCAAAGCCAUAGCCACUAAAUGUGGGACCAACAAAGGAAACCAUGACCAGAACCAGAGACUGAAAUCGCAAAAAAACCUCCAUGUUGUGUGAGGGGAACACAUCUUCUGAUGCACAGAGCAUGCUGAUCAGAAGUCGGAUCCAGGUGUUAACAAGCUGUGUGUGUCCGUGCACUACGUUGCUGAGCAGUGAAUAGACUGCCAGUCUAAGGACAGAGGACAGAGACUGUGCUGAAAAUAAGAGCAGAUCGUCUGAUGGUUCAUCAGGCACUGAUUUAUGUGCGUGUGUGUGCUUGUUUCCAUGCCUGCUCACUAGGAAAUCACAUCCAGCGGUUGGAGAGAGAGCUGGUAUUAUUGGCCAGAUUUCUACAAGCUUCAAAUGCAAUGCCUUCUGGCCAAAUGCAGGGGAAUCUUGAAAUUGUGCCAAAUUUCUGUUAUUUACUUUUGCUCAGGCCUGGUUAGGUGGUUUACUGCAAGGUAUGUGGUGUGUGUGUGUGGGGGGGUCAUCAUUAAAAACAAAUAUGGAGCACCUAAAGGGGUCAUGGUAGCGUUAAGUGUUAAUCUGAAUGGUGCUUGGAUCCAUAUGGGGUAGAGCCGAGAUCAUUACUGGAGAUUGGUUCCCAGAUUGGAGGUCAACUGGUUAUCUUGGCCUCUCAAACACAUCUGUAUAUCUUCCAAUCUGCUCUCUUUGUGCUUAACCAACUCCUAUCAUCUCUCACACAUGCUCUCCCCCCCCCCUCCCUCCCUCAGAGGAAGGAGUGCUGUGGGUCCAUGCCGCCUUUGAAAUGAAAACAAUGUUCAUCUUCUCCCUCUUUCACUUAACACCUUCAAAGUCCCUUUGGAGGUUCUGAAUGAGGCCUCCUGUGAAGGCAGGGAGGAAGAGGGAGAUUAAGCGUUCCACAAUAAUAAGAGCUCUUGAAAAGCCUUUUGCCAUCACAACAGCCUUUGGGUUGAUUUCUUCAUUUUUCAAAUUUUCUUUUAUGAUUUGUCAUUGAAAGCCUCUUUCUUAGGCUUGAAUGGAAAUGUAAAUCGACUGUUUGUAUGAUUUCAUACAUUGUUCCUUCCGUGAUAUUGUUUUUUGUAUUUUUACUGUGUAAAUAAACAAUGUUGUACAUGCA